CCUACGGGUGGCAGCAGUGGGGAAUAUUGGGCAAUGGGCGCAAGCCUGACCCAGCAACGCCGCGUGAAGGAAGAAGGCUUUCGGGCUGUAAACUUCUUUUAUGAGGGACGAAGGAAGUGACGGUACCUCAUGAAUAAGCCACGGCUAACUACGUGCCAGCAGCCGCGGUAAUACGUAGGUGGCGAGCGUUAUCCGGAUUUACUGGGUGUAAAGGGCGUGUAGGCGGGAUUGCAAGUCAGAUGUGAAAACUAUGGGCUCAACCCAUAGCCUGCAUUUGAAACUGUAGUUCUUGAGUGCUGGAGAGGCAAUCGGAAUUCCGUGUGUAGCGGUGAAAUGCGUAGAUAUAUGGAGGAACACCAGUGGCGAAGGCGACGAUCUGGCCUGCAACUGACGCUCAGUCCCGAAAGCGUGGGGAGCAAAUAGGAUUAGAUACCCUUGUAGUC
rnacentral:rRNA from 1 species